rnacentral:rRNA from 1 species
AUUGAACGCUGGCGGCAUGCCUUACACAUGCAAGUCGAACGGUAACAGGUUAAGCUGACGAGUGGCGAACGGGUGAGUAAUGUAUCGGAACGUGCCCAGUCGUGGGGGAUAACUGCUCGAAAGGGCAGCUAAUACCGCAUACGACCUGAGGGUGAAAGCGGGGGAUCGCAAGACCUCGCGCGAUUGGAGCGGCCGAUAUCAGAUUAGGUAGUUGGUGAGGUAAAGGCUCACCAAGCCGACGAUCUGUAGCUGGUCUGAGAGGACGACCAGCCACACUGGGACUGAGACACGGCCCAGACUCCUACGGGAGGCAGCAGUGGGGAAUUUUGGACAAUGGGCGCAAGCCUGAUCCAGCCAUGCCGCGUGCGGGAAGAAGGCCUUCGGGUUGUAAACCGCUUUUGUCAGGGAAGAAAAGGUUCUGGCUAAUACCUGGGACUCAUGACGGUACCUGAAGAAUAAGCACCGGCUAACUACGUG